rnacentral:rRNA from 1 species
ACAUGCCUACAACAUAGCGUUAAUGCACCGAAUCCCAUUAGAACUCUGCAGUUAAGCAUGCUUAGGCUAGAGUAGUAUCGGGAUGUGUGACCACCUGGGAAAGUCGUAGUGUUUUACAUGCC